AAUGAUUAUUGGCAUCACAUCAACACAUCAACCUCGUUGGCACUGAAUUUCUGUUUCCGCUGUCUUGACUUUGGCUGAUGCACGAUAGAAAGACAGAAGAGGUCCAUUCACUUGCAUGUUUAAAUGCUCACAAUGUGCUUCAUAGUAGGCGUGUAGGAAAGGUUGCUGGUUAGCUGAUGAGCUGCAGGCCCUCAGUACCACGGCCAAUGUUUCAGCCGUCCAAUGAACUGACGAGUCUGAAUCCCCUGACAAGUAUUCGUGUAAUCUGGCAGUUUUUGAGGUCUCCAACUCAAGAGUCCAUCGUCGCAGCAGGGGGGGGGGGGGGGGGCGCUCGAGGGUCGAGUGGCGUGAGCACUGGUGAUAAGCAGGGUAUCAAAUGAACGACACGAUGUCACGAUAUUAAAGAGUUACCCGUCAGAAAUAUUCUUUGUAAAAGAGCUCAAGAUUAAAAGAACGGGCUUCGUAAAAUAAGAGCGGUAUUCAGGAAACAUUCUAGGUGUUUUUAGCUGAAAACCAAGUCUGGAGAAGAUUUUAUGCAUCCAUCGUCUGCAUCCCAGCGGCACUGCAGUUAAAUCUGCUCUUAUAGUUCUGCAUCACGACUCGUAGCAGUCCUGUCACCUUAAGGAUAUAUUCCCUGUACCGUCGGGUCGGUCUCGUUUCCCCCCUCGAUAGCACCCACGAUGGAUACGUUGCACAUUACCCGUUUAAAGCGCUACCACCGGUUACGGUGUCAACGUGCUUUCAUGCACUCUGCACUGUGACGAUGGAGACGUUUGCCUGCUAAUGUAACGCACCCCGAGAGGCAGCACAGACACGCAAGUGCUGCACGACAGCGGCGACCAGGUUUGCGGGAGCAGGCGAGUGCUCGUUUGAUGGACAGCAGGACGUCAAACCCGGGGGAUCAGUCAGGGAAGGAAAGCAAGUCGGACAGGGGAGCAGCCUGUGAUCGCCAAUCCAGAAAAACAGGCAACGGGCCAGAAAACAGGGGCGGUUCUAAUUGGCUGGGAAAAACGACAUGAAACAUAUUGUGCUCACGAAGAAGAACAAAUCCAAUCCGACAGGUUUACAUGUGUGGUGUUGACAGAGGGAAACACCGGAGGAUAAUGAGUACAGGUGAGAAGAAGAAAACACCACGAGGUGUUACAAGGAACCACUGGUGACAAAACGAUCACAAGGUUCACAUGGAUACAGACUUCAACGUGAGCAACUUUUAACUGAUUACCAAAGAGUCACUUAUGAAUGUCUAUUUCUAUGUUCUUUAUUGCUUCUGGACCCGACGCGUCCUCCUCUCUGACACGGCGCCGCUGG
ensembl:lncRNA